rnacentral:rRNA from 1 species
CGGGUGCGUAACGCGUAUGCAACCUACCUCUUACUGGGGAAUAGCCCGAAGAAAUUCGGAUUAAUGCCCCAUAUGCUCGUACGGCCUCAUGGUCGAGCGAGGAAAGCUCCGGCGGUAAGAGAUGGGCAUGCGGUACAUUAGCUAGUUGGUGAGGUAAUGGCUCACCAAGGCUACGAUGUAUAGGGGGUCUGAGAGGAUGAUCCCCCACACUGGUACUGAGACACGGACCAGACUCC